AAAACGCAUUUCCAAUUCGAGCGUCAAAUCGAGAGGGCUGAACAACAACUAAGCGGCCUUUGGUCAAAACCAGGGUCAUUCCUCCGACCCAGGACGGUUGGAGACUGUCGUUUUCACCUUGGAAAAUGAAUAUGAGAGGACUUAUUUCAUCUGCCUCGUCGAAUAACAACCUCCCUCCGGUGGCCACCCCCAUGGCCGCCGCCCCCCAACCCUCUUCUAUCUCCGAGUGAUCCGAAUUCGACUUCCGUUGACCCUCUGAAGAGAGCAGGGAAAGAACCAUUAUUCACAGACAUUUGUCACUUCUCAGGGCGUUUCCCUGGCCGUUGUCCAACGUCCACACCUGAAAGCGUUCCCCUUUUGGAAAAUGAACGCAAGCUCAGAACAAAAAUUACAAAAUCCAUCUGUCCGAAAUUCACAGACUGUGCUGAUCUUGAACAUUGUUGUCGAAAAAUGCUACUGCGGCGAAAUGCAAAACUUUAGAGGCCUCGCAGUGGAAACUAUCUGCCGUCUGUCGGCACGGGAGGGUGGCAAAUUAAUUUAGAAAAAUAAUAAUAACCUGGUGUCAGAUAAUACAACGAACGGUUGGUUGCCGUACGGUUUCUGCCAGUGGUUCAGCCACUUCGUCAUUUUCAGGCACAAAGGAAACAAGUCUUGGCUAGUUGGAACCCGCCAGUCAAAAAGUUUCCACAGAUUCGGAGAUGACGGUGUAACCACUUGGAAGAGCGAGUAUGGUUCAUUUUGGAAAACUGUCGCUUGAACACUUAAAAAGCCAAAAUGAUAACCACCCUAAGCGGAUCUAAAUCUUGCAUAUACAACAUUUAAACAGAGGUGAUUUUCCUGUGCGGAGUGUCGUUUCGUUGCAUAUAUAAGAUCUUGCUCCGCUUAAAUUGGUUAUAAAUUUGGGAUUUUGGUUGUUUAUUGGCGACCGUCAUCCAAAAAGGUCCAUACACGUCCAAUUCUUGCGAAAAAAGGCGGAAUCUCUGCCUCUAGGUUCCCACCAUCCAAGAUUUGUUUCUUUUUAGGCUGAAAACGACGAUGUGUCAGCAGUCAGGAGUUUAUUAGGAUCGUAUGAUAAUUUUCCGUUCGUUGACUGGUCGAACACCAAAUCAAAGCCGCCAUCCAGUACCCACAGACGGCCGACAGAAUCCACUUCGAGACCUCUGACUUUUUGGAUUGUGUUGCACUUUCCUUCUUCUCCGAUAAUGUUUGUUCAGCACAAACACUCCGUCUUUGAAUUCACAACUAACGGGCUUGCGUCCAUUUCCCAUGAUGGGAACACAUUUAUUUUUGGACAAAUUGGACACCAGGGUCGCCUCUGCGAGGCCUUUUCCCUGCUCUCUCCCGAGGGCCAAUCGAAGUCCAAUUCGUCCCACUCGGGGAUAGAUCUGUUGGUGGUUGAAAAAGCUCAGAGUUGAAACUCUCUGCCGAGAAAUCCUCGCCAAAAUGGAGAAGAAAUAAUCCAAGUUUCUUCCGUGUUCGAGGACAACACAUUUGAAGAAGACCAGGAACUCCAAACCAGAGUGACAGGACAAGAACGCCAUAUUUAUGAAUUCUGUAAUUUGCAAAAGGUGGUUUUAAAUAAAAUUGUAGCCUGGGGAAGCUAUAAUAUAU